CAAAACAUGUGUAAAUAUGUGUGAAGUGCACGUGGCGGCAUCUGCUGGCAGUCUUUUUAAAGUCCAUCCUCCCACUCUUCGUUUUUUUUCCCAGUCUUUCUUGCAAUAGAUGUGGUCAUACAAUUAAGUUCCAGCCAAUGAGACUUGAGUGGAAGUAAGAUGAAAUCUCUGUGGCGUGCCUUUAAAAGGAUAGGGAAAUAUCCUUUCUGUAAAUCUUUUCUUCUCUCCGGCUGCCUAGAAUAUACACAAAAUGACAAGAGUUCCAGCUCUUCCUGAUACCACGAGCAGCCUUGGAAAUGGAAACCAUGCAUGGCCCCUGAACUACACUUCUUCCAAGCCUGAACCAAGCACAAAAAAGUAGAAUGUGCCCUCUCAUCAGCUUCUCCUGGGAAUCACCCAACCACACAAGGGAAUGCCAUCAAGUCUAUCAGUGGCUGCUGACUUAGAACUGGUCAAGCAUAGACAAGAGUUUAUUCUUCACUAAAUUUUCCAACUUGCAGUGUUUUGCAAAAAGAGGGAAAUAUAAGUAUUAAAGCUCUGAAAACUCCUGGAUCUUCUGGCAAGCUUUUUUGUGACAGCUGUAGCAACCAACAAGCAUUGUUACUUCAAGGAAGCAAAGUGUGCAUAUAAAGGCCUCUGAGCCCAAGCCAAGCCAGUGCAUCCCCUGUGACUUGCACGUAUACGCCCAGGUGGCCUGAAGUAACUGAAGAAUCACAAAAGAAGUGAAAAUGCCCUGCCCCACCUUAACUGAUGAUAUUCCACCACAAAAGAAGUGAAUAUGGCCGGUCCUUGCCUUAAUUGAUGACAUUCCACCAUAAAAGAAGUGAAAAUGGCCGGUCCUUGUCUUAAGUGAUGACAUUAUCUUGUGAAAGUCCUUUUCCUGGCUCAUCCUGGCUCAAAAAGCUCCCCCACUGAGCACCUUGCGACCCCCACUCCUGCCCGCCAGAGAACAAAUCCCUUUUGACCAUAAUUUUCCUUUAUCUACCCAAAUCCUAUAAAACAGUCCCACCCUUAUCUCCCUUCGCUGACUCUCUUUUCGGACUCAGCCCGCCC
rnacentral:lncRNA from 1 species